rnacentral:pre_miRNA from 1 species
AAUGCAAUUGCUGGGUCAUAGGGUUAGCUCUAUUUAUAAUUUUUUGAGGAACCUCCAUACUGUUUUCCAGAGUGGCUGCACCAGUUUGCAUUCCCACCAGCAGU